GCCAGCAGCCAUAUCACCCUGCAACUCACAACUGGCAACCCACUGAAACUAAGCAGGUAUGAGCCUGGUCAGUACUUGGAUGGGAGACCUCUUGGGAAAAACUAAGGUUGCUGCUGGAA
ensembl:rRNA 5S_rRNA 5S ribosomal RNA